rnacentral:rRNA from 1 species
UACAGAGGUCUCAAGCGUUGUUCGGAUUCAUUGGGCGUAAAGGGUGCGUAGGUGGCGCCGUAAGUCGGGUGUGAAAUUUCGGAGCUUAACUCCGAAACUGCAUUCGAUACUGCGGUGCUUGAGGACUGGAGAGGAGACUGGGAAUUCAUGGUGUAGCAGUGAAAUGCGUAGAGAUCAUGAGGAAGACCAGUGGCGAAGGCGGGUCUCUGGACAGUUCCUGACACUGAGGCACGAAGGCCAGGGGAGCAAACGGG